rnacentral:sRNA from 1 species
UUACAGGCAUGAGCCACCGCACCUGGCCUAGGUCUUAGAUCUGGUAUUCCCUCUCGAAUGGUUUCCACUCAACAAGCCCAGUGUUGGGGACUAUUUCCACAUGGCCUACAACGUCAUCACACCCUUUCUCUUGCUCAAGCUCAUCGAGCGGUCCCCCCGCACCCUGCCACGCUCCAUCACCUACGUGAGCAUCAUCAUCUUCAUCAUGGGUGCCAGCAUCCACCUGGUGGGUGACUCUGUCAACCACCGCCUGCUCUUCAGUGGCUACCAGCACCACCUGUCUGUCCGUGAGAACCCCAUCAUCAAGAAUCUCAAGCCGGAGACGCUGAUCGACUCCUUUGAGCUGCUCUACUAUUAUGAUGAGUACCUGGGUCACUGCAUGUGGUACAUCCCCUUCUUCCUCAUCCUCUUCAUGUACUUCAGCGGCUGCUUUACUGCCUCUAAAGCUGAGAGCUUGAUGCCAGGGCCUGCCCUGCUCCUGGUGGCGCCCAGUGGCCUGUACUACUGGUACCUGGUCACCGAGGGCCAGAUCUUCAUCCUCUUCAUCUUCACCUUCU